rnacentral:lncRNA from 1 species
GAGCACAUGGGCCCGCGGGCCGGGCGGACUCGGGCGGCCUGGACCGGGAGGAACAGCGAGGGGCGGCGAGCGAGGCUGGGUCCCGGCACGCCCCCGGAGCCCCCCGAGUGGAUUUCCACGCGGAAAGGAUGGUGGCCGUCCGGGUGACCUGCGGAGACACGGCCGGAUCCACCUUCCAGCCUGAUCUUUUGAUCAGGGAGGAAUUCAAAAGAAUGCCCCCUUGUGAUGGCUGCGCUGUCAAGUACAUGGAGCUUCCCUCGAGGAUUUUCUGAGCCUUGUGGAUAUACUGUGAGCCUCGCUGCCUGGGGAGUAAGGCGGCGGAAGCAGUCUCUGGGGGGACCCAUGCCCGCAGCAUUUCUGGAUGCUAAAGGUGGCUUUAAGGAAGGCCCAGCUGAGUGCCUCGUGGAUUCCUGCAGCCUGGAUGCCUGCGGGGGACAGAAGACCGAUGCUUCCUGCCCUCAUCACCCAGGAAUGUCGGGAGGGGGCUCCGCCAGUUCCCUGAAGGGCUCCCAGUGAAACCUUCCUGUGAUGGCUGUGGUGUAAUCUGAAAAAAUGCAGAUCCGUUCAGAACUCCAGAAGGACUUGAAAACUGUCCUGCCCUGAACGAAAGCUGGAAUAUCGUGGGCUUUGAUGAACCAAGGAAAAGUGCCUUCAUCAGGACGCAGCAGUAAGCCUGCUGACUACUUAAGCCCUGCCUAGGUUCCUAGGAAAUGGGCAGGAAAAGUGCCUGCCACCUGCUGCUUGCUGGUGUGCUGUUUUGGCAGCAGGAGCUGUGGGAACACACAGGGGCAGGAGAACAAACACAUUACACACGAGGACUUCCAUCCUCCAGCCAGCAAGGUGCCGACACCUCACACUUGACACCUGCUGAGCGCCCUACUGUGUGCCCUGCCCCCCUGAACGAGGCAGCCUCGGAGCUUGGAUCCUAGUUGGAGAGACAGGCAAUUAGCAGGAUGGCAGAUCCACAUCCAGGAUCCUGGGAAGCACUUGACAGAGGGGAGGAGCCCAGCAAUAACACUGACCAAAGAGAAGUGAAUCCUUUUGCCCAGUGACUGGAAGACACAAGAAAGUGGUGGGGGGUGGGAGGCAGGGGGGAAGGAGCCUGGCACCUUGCCACGCUUCCCCUGUAAGGAGCACACACCCUCUCCCCCACCCCCUCCCCCCAAACACAUAAUACCUUUUAACUGGUGAUUUGGUCACUGCUGUGCUAUCUUCAUUGAAUGUGGUUUUGAGAGAAUGGUUGGUCUGGAAAUUUUAUUUUCAAUUAAACUUCCUUGUGGAACUGCCUUGGUUUUGAAAGGACUCUAUUAGGAUGGCUAAUUAUAUAGCAGUUGCUACAAGGAGAUGUUUGCACUCCAUUGCAGCUCUUAGGUAAUUCAAAUCCAAUGCUUUCUCUUCUCCUCCCUGGAGCCGUGUGUGAUCAUCUUCCGCUCACACCGUCGGCUUCUUGUGAGUUAUUUUUGGAAUUUCAAAUCAAAACAGCGAUUUUGGCGGAUGGGUGAGUAUAUAUACUCUCGCCUAGCAAAGUAAACCACAUGGACUGAUACACCCAGCCCAAGAGUCGGUGCCUUUAAAGAGCAGCAGAACCAUCUCCCUCCGUGAAGGUUAAAUUGGGGGGAACUGCACACUGUCCUUGAUGGUAUCACAGUCCUCUGUGAGCUCUAUCUGAAGUCAAAGAAAAUUGAGAUUCCUUGAAAAUUACCAACUAUGCGUUGUUCCUCUGCCAAGGGCGGCCAGGGUCAUUUUGUUUCAGGAUGGCGGGUCUUGGCAGAAUUUACUGGGGACUCUGUUUUGGCUGCUGGACCCGCUAUAUGAGACAUGGAAAUCACUUUAUUUUCCCACCCUGUGCUGUCUCCUUCUGUUCCUAGAGUGCAUGGGACAUACCUGACCAUGCAGACUAAGCAGACAAAGAGCCUAAGCUCUUUCGGGGCAGGGCUGUGUUCAUCUUGUUUUGUUCCUGGUGCAUUAUAGGUGCUCAGAUAGUUGAAUAAUUACAUAGAUAAAUGAGUGCUAUCCCAUUUCUCUUUUUCUCUUUUAAUUUUUUAAAUUUUUUUAUGUUUUUGGUUUUUAGGGCCAAACAUGCAGCAUAUGGCAGUUCCCAGGCCAGGGGCAGAAUCAUACCUGCAGCUGCCAGUCUGUGCCACAGCUCACGGCAAUGCUGGAGCGAGACCAGGUAUCAAACUGCAUCCUCAUGGAUGCUAGUCAGGUUCGUUAUUGCUGAACCACAACAGAACUCCAUCUAUUUUUCUAUUUGUUUAUUUUGCAUUUUAGGGACCCCUAGCCUGGGAACCUCCAUAUGCCAUAGGUGCGGCCCUAAAAAAAGACAAAAAUGUUUUUAAAAAUAAAUUUUUAAAAAAUGUUUAAAUUUUCAUUUUCAUUUUAAUUAAAUAUAUUUCAUUAUAUCUUAAUUGAAAUAUAUUCAAGACAGAGGUUUGGCCCAGAGCUCUGAGUCAGUGUCUUGAACAGUCCAUGACUGGCCAGGAAUGUAUUGCUUUGGGGCCUUACUCGUCCCUCGUAUGACUUUAUUAUCCAAUUAAAAUGUCUCUUUUUUCUCU